UACGUAGGGUGCGAGCGUUGUCCGGAUUUAUUGGGCGUAAAGAGCUCGUAGGCGGUUUGUCGCGUCGGCCGUGAAAUCUCCACGCUUAACGUGGAGCGUGCGGUCGAUACGGGCAGACUUGGAGUUCGGUAGGGGAGACUGGAAUUCCUGGUGUAGCGGUGAAAUGCGCAGAUAUCAGGAGGAACACCGGUGGCGAAGGCGGGUCUCCUGGGCCGAUACUGACGCUGGAGGAGCGAAAGCGUGGGGAGCGAACAGG
rnacentral:rRNA from 1 species